rnacentral:tRNA from 1 species
GUCCCUGUAGCUCAGUUGGUAGAGCAUGGUGUUUGCAACACCAGGGUUGUGGGUUCGUUUCCCACGGGGGGCC